CUUUUAUGGAGAGUUUGAUCCUGGCUCAGGACGAACGCUGGCGGCGUGCCUAAUACAUGCAAGUCGAGCGGACUUGAUGGAGUGCUUGCACUCCU
rnacentral:rRNA from 1 species